UGGGGAAUUUUGCGCAAUGGGGGAAACCCUGACGCAGCAACGCCGCGUGGAGGAUGAAGUCCCUUGGGACGUAAACUCCUUUCGACCGGGACGAUAAUGACGGUACCGGAAGAAGAAGCCCCGGCUAACUUCGUGCCAGCAGCCGCGGUAAUACGAGGGGGGCGAGCGUUGUUCGGAAUUAUUGGGCGUAAAGGGUGCGUAGGCGGUUCGGUAAGUUUCGUGUGAAAUCUUCGGGCUCAACUCGAAGCCUGCACGAGAUACUGCCGGGCUUGAGUGUGGGAGAGGUGAGUGGAAUUUCCGGUGUAGCGGUGAAAUGCGUAGAUAUCGGAAGGAACACCUGUGGCGAAAGCGGCUCACUGGACCACAACUGACGCUGAGGCACGAAAGCUAGGGGAGCAAACAGG
rnacentral:rRNA from 1 species